rnacentral:rRNA from 1 species
UGGGGAAUCUUGGACAAUGGGGGAAACCCUGAUCCAGCCAUGCCGCGUGAGUGAUGAAGGCCCUAGGGUUGUAAAACUCUUUCGGCGGGGACGAUAAUGACGGUACCCGCAGAAGAAGCUCCGGCUAACUUCGUGCCAGCAGCCGCGGUAAUACGAAGGGGGCUAGCGUUGUUCGGAAUUACUGGGCGUAAAGCGCGCGCAGGCGGUCCUUCAAGUCAGGGGUGAAAGCCCAGGGCUCAACCCUGGAAUGGCCUUUGAGACUAGAGGACUUGGGUACGGGAGAGGUGAGUGGAAUUCCGAGUGUAGAGGUGAAAUUCGUAGAUAUUCGGAAGAACACCAGUGGCGAAGGCGGCUCACUGGCCCGUUACCGACGCUCAGGCGCGAUAGCGUGGGGAGCAAACAG